CCCUUAGAUGUUCUGGGCCGCACGCGCGCUACACUGAUGAAUGCAACGAGCUCUACCCUUGACCGAAAGGCCCGGGUAAACUUGUGAAACUGCAUCGUGAUGGGGCUAGAUUAUUGCAAUUAUUAAUCUUCAACGAGGAACGCCUAGUAAGCGUGAUUCAUCAAAUCGCGUUGAUUACGUCCCUGCCCUUUGUACACACCGCCCGUCGCUCCUACCGAUUGAAUGUGUUGGUGAGGAGCUCGGAUUGGCAGCAGUUGGUGGUUCGCCACCGGCUAUUGCUGAGAAGUCCUCCAAACCGCCCCAUUUAGAGGAAGGAGAAGUCGUAACA
rnacentral:rRNA from 1 species